GUGGGGAAUAUUGCACAAUGGGGGAAACCCUGAUGCAGCGACGCCGCGUGCGGGAUGACGGCCUUCGGGUUGUAAACCGCUUUCAGCAGGGACGAAAUUGACGGUACCUGCAGAAGAAGCGCCGGCUAACUACGUGCCAGCAGCCGCGGUAAUACGUAGGGCGCAAGCGUUGUCCGGAAUUAUUGGGCGUAAAGAGCUCGUAGGCGGUUUGUCGCGUCGGGUGUGAAAGCUCAGGGCUCAACCCUGAGUCUGCAUCCGAUACGGGCAGACUAGAGGCAGGUAGGGGAGAACGGAAUUCCUGGUGUAGCGGUGAAAUGCGCAGAUAUCAGGAGGAACACCGGUGGCGAAGGCGGUUCUCUGGGCCUGUACUGACGCUGAGGAGCGAAAGCGUGGGGAGCGAACAGGAUUAGAAACCCGUGUAGUCC
rnacentral:rRNA from 1 species